ACAGCAUCUGAGAUGAAGUAGGAUUACCCGCUGAACUUAAGCAUAUCAUUAAGCGGAGGAAAAGAAACUAACAAGGAUUCCCUUAGUACGGGCGACGGAAGCGGGAAAAGCCCACACUGGUAAUCUCCGUGCGUGAGUACGGCGAAUUGUAAUCUGAAGAGUCAUUGUCAUGGCAAUGGGGAGACGCAGAAGUGUCCACGAGCGGACCGCCAAAGAGGGUGAGAGCCCCGUCUGUAGUGUUUCCUGAGUC
rnacentral:rRNA from 1 species